rnacentral:rRNA from 1 species
AGCGGAUUAGCGGCGGACGGGUGAGUAACACGUGAGUAACCUGCCUUAGACAUUGGGAUAGCCUCGGGAAACCGGGAUUAAUACCAAAUAAAAUCAUAAUGACACAUGUCAUAACGAUCAAAACUCCGGUGGUCUAAGAUGGACUCGCGCCCAUUAGCUAGUUGGUAGAGUAAAAGCCUACCAAGGCGACGAUGGGUAGCCGGCCUGAGAGGGUGAACGGCCACAUUGGAACUGAGAAACGGUCCAA